rnacentral:rRNA from 1 species
CGCGUAGGUGGCUUGGUAAGCGUGUGGUGAAAGUCCGGGGCUCAACCCCGGAUCUGCCGUGCGAACUGCUGAGCUCGAGCAAUGUAGAGGCAGGUGGAAUUUCGGGUGUAGCGGUGGAAUGCGUAGAUAUCCGAAAGAACACCAGUGGCGAAGGCGGCCUGCUGGGCAUUUGCUGACACUGAGGCGCGACAGCGUGGGGAGCAAACAGGAUUAGAUACCCUGGUAGUCCACGCCGUAAACGAUGGGUACUAGGUGUCUGGGGGAGCGACCCCCUGGGUGCCGGCGCUAACGCAUGAAGUACCCCGCCUGGGGAGUACGGCCGCAAGGCUGAA